rnacentral:snoRNA from 2 species
CCCCUCUCAGGGUCACACCUGGGGAGUUUCCAGUACUCUACCAGUCUCGACUAUGGGAGGGAGAGUCAAGCGGAGGCCUAUCUAUUCCUUUCCUAGCUUGGGCAGUGGCUAGUGAGUGGAAGGCAAUCUGCUACGGUG